rnacentral:rRNA from 1 species
UACGGAGGGUGCAAGCGUUAUCCGGAUUCACUGGGUUUAAAGGGUGUGUAGGCGGGCUGUUAAGUCAGUGGUGAAAUCUCCGGGCUCAACCCGGAAACUGCCAUUGAUACUAAUGGUCUUGAAUUUUGUUGAGGUAGGCGGAAUAUGUCAUGUAGCGGUGAAAUGCUUAGAUAUGACAUAGAACACCGAUUGCGAAGGCAGCUUACUAAGCAAAUAUUGACGCUGAGGCACGAAAGCGUGGGGAGCAAACAGG